GUGCUCGCUUUGGCAGCACAUAUACUAAAAUUGGAUCGAUACAGAGAAGAUUAGCAUGGCCCCUGCGAAAGGAUGACACAAAUCCGUGAAGCGCUCCUUAUUUUC
rnacentral:snRNA from 1 species